GACGAACGCUGGCGGCGUGCUUAACACAUGCAAGUCGAACGGAAAGGCCCUGCUUUUGUGGGGUGCUCGAGUGGCGAACGGGUGAGUAACACGUGAGUAACCUGCCCUUGACUUUGGGAUAACUUCAGGAAACUGGGGCUAAUACCGGAUAGGAGCUCCUGCCGCAUGGUGGGGGUUGGAAAGUUUCGGCGGUUGGGGAUGGACUCGCGGCUUAUCAGCUUGUUGGUGGGGUAGUGGCUUACCAAGGCUUUGACGGGUAGCCGGCCUGAGGGGGUGACCGGUCACAUUGGGACUGAGAUACGGCCCAGACUCCUACGGGAGGCAGCAGUGGGGAAUAUUGCACAAUGGGCGGAAGCCUGAUGCAGCAACGCCGCGUGCGGGAUGACGGCCUUCGGGUUGUAAACCGCUUUCGCCUGUGACGAAGCGUGAGUGACGGUAAUGGGUAAAGAAGCACCGGCUAACUACGUG
rnacentral:rRNA from 1 species